UACGAAGGGGGGCUAGCGUUGUUCGGAAUUACUGGGCGUAAAGCGCGCGCAGGCGGUCUUCCAAGUCAGUGGUGAAAGCCCGGAGCUCAACUCCGGAACUGCCAUUGGAACUGUGAGACUUGAGGAUGAGAGAGGUGAGUGGAAUUCCCAGUGUAGAGGUGAAAUUCGUAGAUAUUGGGAAGAACACCGGUGGCGAAGGCGGCUCACUGGCUCAUUUCUGACGCUCAGGCGCGACAGCGUGGGGAUCAAACAGG
rnacentral:rRNA from 1 species